GAAGCCCAGGUUGGCUGCCUACAAUCAGAGUCCACAUAUGUUCGGGGGAGGGACCCCAGAAGGCGGCUGACAGUAUUCCUUUAGCCAGAAAUCCCUUCAGGGAAGAGAAAGGUGCUCCCCUUUGCCUGCUUUUAUACUACAGACUGUUUCCAACUCCAGCUAGAAGUGACUAUUGCCGAUUAUGCUAAUCAGUGGCGACAAGCUCCCUUUGACUGCUCACUUCUCCAGUGAGGCUUCAAGCUUCUAGGCAUCAAGAUUAUAUUUUCCAGAAAAUAUUUCAAGCAGAAUAUACUUAUUUUCCAGUUUUGAAAACAACUAGAUUGCCCAUCUCCAUUUCUCUCUAUCAUCUACUGUAUUAUUCUAUGGACAACUGCCACCCUAAUAAGCUCAAAGGAAACCAUGAGAGACUGUCUAACUAGACUUUUUGCUUGAUUUCCUGGACCCAAGAGCAGGAGUGAGGAGCUUUCUCCUGGUAAUUUUGUUAUAGAGCAAUCAAUGAGCUUGCUUCCUCAUGCACAUGGAGGCCAACACCAUGACAAAGGCUUUUGAGAAAAGAAAAGCUUUAUGGAGACCUGACUGGCAAGGAAACAGAAGAAAAUUCUCAUUUCUGUCUCUCUGAGCUGGGGUCUGGACCAGAUUUUAUAUGCAUAGGGUAAUGAGGCAUGAUCUGAUUGGAUAAUCGGGCAAGAUCUAGAACCCAAUCACAUAAAGC
rnacentral:lncRNA from 10 species